rnacentral:rRNA from 1 species
GACGAACGCUGGCGGCGUGCUUAACACAUGCAAGUCGAACGAUGAAGUUCCUUCGGGAAUGGAUUAGUGGCGAACGGGUGAGGAACACGUGAGAAACCUGCCUUUCAUUUUGGGAUAACUCCGGGAAACCGGGGCUAAAACCGAAUACUCCGUCUUGGCGGCAUCGCUGAGCCGGGAAAAGAUUUUGAUGAAAGAUGGUCUCGCGGCCUAUCAGCUAGUUGGUGAGGUAAUGGCUCACCAAGGCAACGACGGGUAGCCGGCCUGAGAGGGCGACCGGCCACAGUGGGACUGAGACGCGGCCCAGACGCCUGCGGGAGGCAGCAGUGGGGAAUAUUGGGCAAUGGGCGCACGCCUGAGCCAGCGACGCCGCGUGAGGGAUGAAGGCCUUCGGGUUGUAAACCUCUUUCAGUAUGGAAGAAGCGAAAGUGACGGUACCUAAAGAAGAAGCACCGGCUAACUAUGUGCCAGCAGCCGCGGUAA